GCCGUGAUCGUAUAGUGGUUAGUACUCUGCGUUGUGGCAGCAAACCCCGGUUCGAAUCCGGGUCACGGCA
rnacentral:tRNA from 1 species